GCUGGGCGCAGUGGUGCACACCUGUAAUCCCAGUGACUUGGGAGGCUGAGGAAGGAGGAUGGCAGGUUCAAGGCCAGCUUGGGCAACUUGGCGAGACCCUGUCUCAA
rnacentral:sRNA from 1 species